AUUCGUUCACCCUAAUAGGGCGCAGUCCGAGCUAUACCAUGGAACGGGGGAUAGC
ncrna:unclassified sequences Glutamine-II riboswitch (downstream peptide RNA)